rnacentral:rRNA from 1 species
GCCAAACAGCUAGCCCAAAAAUUUUAAAGAUCAACAACAUUAACAUGUGGGACAGUAUUUUAACUACUAAAUUAAAUCAUUCUUUUACCUGAGUAUGGGAGACAGAAAAGGUUAAACUUGGAGCCAUAGAAAAAGUACCGCAAGGGAAAGCUGAAAGAGAAAUGAAAUAACCCAUAAAAGCAAUAAGAAGCAAAGAUUAAAUCUUGUACCUUUUGCAUCAUGAUUUAGCAAGCACCUUCAAGCAAAGAGCCCUAUAGUUUGAAACCCCGAAACCAAGUGAGCUACCCCGAGACAGCCUAUGUAAAUUAGGGCAAACCCGUCUCUGUGGCAAAAGAGUGGGAAGAGCUCCGGGUAGAAGUGACAGACCUACCGAACUUGGUGAUAGCUGGUUGCUUAAGAAAUGGAUAGAAGUUCAGCCCCAUACCCCCUCAAGCCAAAACUGCAUUACCAAAUGACCAAGAGAGAGAUAUGGGAGUUAGUUAAAGGGGGUACAGCCCCUUUAACCAAGGAUACAACCUUUUUAGGAGAAUAAAGAUCAUAAUUUUAAAGACUUACUGUUUUAGUGGGCCCAAAGGCAGCCAUCUGAAUAGAAAGCGUUAAAGCUCAGACAGAAUAUAGUUUAUUGUACCGAUAAAACAUCUUACUUCCCUUAAAUUAUUAAGCCAACCCAUGCCCCCAUGGGAGAAAUUAUGCUAAAAUGAGUAACGAGAAGGCCCGCCCUUCUCCCAGCACAAGUGUAAGUCAGAUUGGACAGACCACUGAAAAUUAACGAACCCAAACCAAGAGGGCAAUGUGAUUCAUGAGAAAACCAAGAAGCGCCCACAAUCAAUAAUCGUUAACCUCACACCAGAGUGCAACAAGGGAAAGACUAAAAGAGGGGGAAGGAACUCGGCAAACACAAGCCUCGCCUGUUUACCAAAAACAUCGCCUCCUGCAACUUUUUAAGUAUAGGAGGUCCAGCCUGCCCAGUGACUACGGGUUCAACGGCCGCGGUAUUUUGACCGUGCAAAGGUAGCGCAAUCACUUGUCUUUUAAAUAAAGACCUGUAUGAAUGGCUAGACGAGGGCUUAACUGUCUCCCCCCUCCAGUCAGUGAAAUUGAUCUAUCCGUGCAGAAGCGGGUAUGCCACUACAAGACGAGAAGACCCUUUGGAGCUUAAGGUACAAAACUUAAUCACGUUAAACAACUUAACAAAGAGAUAAGAACUUAGUGGCGUAUAAGAUUUUACCUUCGGUUGGGGCGACCACGGAGGAAAAACAAGCCUCCAAGUGGAACGGGUACAUACCCUUAAGCCUAGAGAGACUUCUCUACGCCACAGAACAUCUGACCAAUAAUGAUCCGGCGUAAAGCCGAUCAACGGACCAAGUUACCCUAGGGAUAACAGCGCAAUCCUCUCCCAGAGUUCAUAUCGACGAGGGGGUUUACGACCUCGAUGUUGGAUCAGGACAUCCUAAUGGUGCAGCCGCUAUUAAGGGUUCGUUUGUUCAACGAUUAAAGUCCUACGUGAUCUGAGUUCAGACCGGAGCAAUCCAGGUCAGUUUCUAUCUGUAACGCUACUUUUCCUAGUACGAAAGGAUCGGAAAAGGGGGGCCCAUGCUUGGAGUAUGCCCCACCCCUAAUUAAUGAAAACAAAUAAAGUAAGUAAAGGGAGGGCCAAAGCCCAACGCCAAAAUAAGG